rnacentral:rRNA from 1 species
UACAGAGGCCCCAAGCGUUACUGAGAAUCACUGGGUUUAAAGGGUGCGUAGGUGGUCCGUUAAGUUCGUUGUGAAAGCCCUGGGCUCAACCCAGGAACUGCUUCGAAUACUGGCGGACUUGAGGCGAGUAUGGGUCACUGGAACUGACGGUGGAGCGGUGAAAUGCGUAGAUAUCGUCAGGAACGCCAAUGGUGAAGACAGGUGACUGGGCUCGAUCUGACACUGAGGCCCGAAAGCGUGGGGAGCGAACGGG